AUGAAGAGUUCAAUUAGAAACUCUACUUUUCUGUGAUAUUUAGUGUUACGUGUUUUGAGCGUCCUAUCAAAAGUGAUUGCUAACAUAACUCCAAUUCGUAUUGUGAUGUGUGCUAGUGUUAAUAGUGAGUUGAGGAGCCAGUUGAAAAGUGAUACUUUAAUGUAUCCGUGACACAGAGCGCCAUGGUUGCAAGCUGAGCGAAGUACUGGUGACACUGUGAGGCGUGACCUCCCCUCCCCCCGAGGCGUGACUUGGGCGUGCUAGCGGGUCGCGUAGGCUCGGUUAACAGUGUGGGCGUGUUGUUGCCCCGCCACGUGUCGUCUGGCUGUUUGCAAGUGUUUGCAACAGGUGUGGUGGGUUGGUGUGAACGCUGAUGCUGGCCGCUGCUCGGGGUCCUCCAGGCCCCACGCCCAUACAGCCCACUAUGCCAGAGCCACGCCCACACUCUCACAAGAUCCACCUCCAGCACGGACCAGCUCGCUUCCACAAGCCCUGGUACAACCCUCCUUGGGUGAGUGAGAGCAAGGCGUCGAGCAAGGCCGCCGAGAAGGGACACCGAGUUAGGGGUGAGGAUGGCGUGGGCGGCAUGUCUAGCACAGGGGGCGGCGGGGGCAGUGGAUCAUCGUCGUCAUCAGUGCGGGGCUCCUCCUCCCGCUCUAGGACCGAGGAAAUCGGGAAGUAUCGUCUUCUCAAAACCAUCGGCAAAGGCAACUUCGCCAAGGUGAAGCUCGCCAAACAUGUCCCCACCGGCAAGGAGGUGGCCAUAAAAAUCAUAGACAAAACUCAAUUAAAUCCAGGGUCUUUACAAAAACUGUUCCGAGAAGUACGAAUCAUGAAAAUUUUAGAUCAUCCUAAUAUCGUCAAACUCUUCCAAGUAAUAGAAACAGAAAAGACUUUGUACCUGGUAAUGGAAUAUGCUAGUGGUGGAGAGGUGUUUGAUUACUUGGUCUUCCAUGGCAGAAUGAAGGAAAAGGAGGCGCGGGCAAAGUUUAGACAGAUUGUGUCUGCUGUACAGUACUGCCACCAAAAGAAAAUAAUUCACAGAGAUUUAAAAGCGGAAAAUUUACUCCUGGACUCGGAAAUGGUGAUCAAAAUAGCAGAUUUUGGUUUUAGCAAUGAAUUUACUCCAGGGAAUAAAUUGGACACAUUCUGUGGUAGUCCACCAUAUGCAGCUCCUGAGCUGUUUCAAGGUAAAAAGUACGAUGGUCCUGAAGUAGAUGUUUGGUCUUUGGGUGUAAUUCUCUACACUUUAGUUUCUGGCUCAUUACCCUUCGACGGAUCUAAUUUAAAAGAACUUCGAGAACGGGUAUUAAGGGGUAAAUAUCGAAUACCCUUCUACAUGUCCACCGAUUGUGAGAAUCUGCUCAAGAAGUUCCUGGUGCUUAACCCAGCGCGUAGGGCAUCACUAGAGACAAUAAUGAAAGACAGAUGGAUGAAUAUUGGUUAUGAAGAUGAUGAACUUAAGCCAUAUAUAGAACCUGUGAUGGAUUAUGAUGACCUAAAACGAAUUGAGAUCCUUAAUGAAAUGGGCUACUCGCGAACGGAAAUUGAAGAGAGUUUGAAAAGUCAGAAAUAUGAUGAUGUAUAUGCUACCUACCUACUUUUGGGCCGAAGAUCUUCAGAUCUUGAGAGUGAUGGUUCUCGGUCUGGAAGUUCCCUCUCCUUGCGCAACACUAGUUUAACUCCAAGAGGCCAAGAGUCUAGUGGAGCUGCCCAGUCCCCCUCUCACUCCCAUCGGGGAGUACAUCGCUCAGUCUCCGCCACCAACUCCAAGCCCUCUCGCAGAGCAUCUUCCGGUGGGGAGACCAUUCGUGGCGGAGGCACAACUCCAGUCUCGACUAAUGCACACAACCAUGCGGGCACCAACAACUUUCGACGCCAGAACACAGUUGAUUCUGCAACAAUCAAGGAGAACACUGCUCGACUGGCACAGGGAGGGGUGCCCACCACCUCAGCCUCUCGUUCAGCGGCACUCAAGAACCAAAAUAUUACAGCUCUUGAUCCCACGGGGGCACCUGGCAAGCCUGGAGGAGCAGGCGCUGCGACAAGUCCCGGUGUAGGAAAAUCCCGAGUUCAGAAGAGUAAUACUAUGACUGCUAGAAAUAGUGGCUCAGGAAGGCGCUCAACUUACUCCUAUGAUGCCAAUAAGGCAUCAUCAACGGAAAAGACAAAUAUAACUAACGUUCCAGAUUCUGCUAGUGGUGUGGCUGCGGUACCACUCCUCCCUGGGGCCCCUCCCUCCAGUGUGGUGGGGGCCCCGGUGGACAGCCUGUCCCAUGGCCACCCCUCGGCAGCCACUAACUCUCGACCUGCAAAAGGUCAUUUCAAGUCAGCGUCCAUUUCUGCGGGCACGGGUGCUGGUCCAGGUCGAGUGGAUCUCUCGCCUCUAGACCACCCCCUAGAUCCUUUACGGUCAAGCUCGUCGAACAAAACGCCUGUAUCUCCUGUAUCAACCAAUCGCAAUCCCUUCCCCCGAAACCACACCAGUCGAUCAACGUUCCACAGUGGACAGAACCGACGAAAUAACAACACAUAUGGAGGAGUAGGUGCCCCGCUCACCACGCAGGAUACCAGUGCCCUCUCUUCCACCAGUAGGACCAGUUUCUUCUCUAAAUUAUCAUCUAAAUUUUCCAAACGCCCCCUGGAAACACCACCUAGGCAAGCAGCUAGGUACGUUGGAUAUGCAGCCAAUCCCAGAUCGCAAAAACUGCUGCACAUCAGACUUCUCCAAACGUUGAGAGAUACUGCCAUUUCAGCAAAAAAAAGUCAAGAACGACCUCAUUCUCCCAUUCCACCAUGGACGAUACCUUUCAUUUCUUCUUGCCAGCUGAAAUUAAAAAAGGCCCGGCGUUCACAGAGUGUUUUCAGCAAGGAUGGGAGAGUGGAAGCAGAGUUGGCUGAAAGGGUGACAGAGUGCAGUAUCACUGAGGAACUAAACAAAAGCCCAUCCGUGAAUAAUGAUGAACAGGUCAAACCUCGGUCAUUACGCUUUACAUGGAGCAUGAAAACGACAUCAUCACGUGACCCCAAUGACAUCAUGGCCGAGAUUCGCAAGGUAGACCACCCCCAGCACCAUGAAUAGCAACGACAAGUUUUAGAUGCAAACAACUGUGAUUAUGAGCAGCGAGAAAAGUUCUUGCUUCUUUGUGUUCACGGGGACCCUAAUACAGACUCCUUAGUACAAUGGGAGAUUGAGGUUUGUAAACUGCCUAGACUUAGCUUGAAUGGUGUUC
rnacentral:misc_RNA from 1 species